AGCGAACGCUGGCGGCAGGCCUAACACAUGCAAGUCGAACGAAGUCUUCGGACUUAGUGGCGGACGGGUGAGUAACACGUGGGAACGUGCCUUUAGGUUCGGAAUAACUCAGGGAAACUUGUGCUAAUACCGAAUGUGCCCUUCGGGGGAAAGAUUUAUCGCCUUUAGAGCGGCCCGCGUCUGAUUAGCUAGUUGGUGAGGUAAAGGCUCACCAAGGCGACGAUCAGUAGCCGGUCUGGGAGGAUGAUCAGCCACAUUGGGACUGAGACACGGCCCAAACUCCUACGGGAGGCAGCAGUGGGGAAUCUUGCGCAAUGGGCGAAAGCCUGACGCAGCCAUGCCGCGUGAAUGAUGAAGGUCUUAGGAUUGUAAAAUUCUUUCACCGGGGACGAUAAUGACGGUACCCGGAGAAGAAGCCCCGGCUAACUUCGUGCCAGCCGCCGCAGUAA
rnacentral:rRNA from 1 species